rnacentral:snRNA from 1 species
ACUGCUUCUUGACCUUUUGGCUAAGAUCAUGUGUAGUAUCUGUUCUUAUCGGUUUAAUACCUUAUCUGUCCUCAAUGAGAGGACUUUUAAAUGGAUUUUUUUUUUUU